AAAAUAUUGGCUCACGUACGUUCAGCGAAGUUAAGCAACGUCAAGCCUGGUCAGUACCGAGAUGGGGGACUGUUUGGGAAUACCAGGUGAUGCAAUC